rnacentral:piRNA from 1 species
UGGGAUUAAAGAUGUGUACUACAAUGCCU